CCUACGGGAGGCAGCAGUGGGGAAUAUUGGACAAUGGGCGAAAGCCUGAUCCAGCAAUGCCGCGUGAGUGAUGAAGGCCUUAGGGUUGUAAAGCUCUUUUACCAGGGAUGAUAAUGACAGUACCUGGAGAAUAAGCUCCGGCUAACUCCGUGCCAGCAGCCGCGGUAAUACGGAGGGAGCUAGCGUUGUUCGGAAUUACUGGGCGUAAAGCGUGCGUAGGCGGCGAUUCAAGUCAGAGGUGAAAGCCUGGAGCUCAACUCCAGAACUGCCUUUGAAACUAGAUUGCUAGAAUCAUGGAGAGGUGAGUGGAAUUCCGAGUGUAGAGGUGAAAUUCGUAGAUAUUCGGAAGAACACCAGUGGCGAAGGCGGCUCACUGGACAUGUAUUGACGCUGAGGCACGAAAGCGUGGGGAGCAAACAGGAUUAGAUACCCUGGUAGUCCACGCCGUAAACGAUGAUAACUAGCUGCCAGGGCUCAUAGAGCUUUGGUGGCGCAGCUAACGCAUUAAGUUAUCCGCCUGGGGAGUACGGUCGCAAGAUUAAAACUCAAAUGAAUUGACGG
rnacentral:rRNA from 1 species